UGUUCUAACAUGCCAGAGGCUGUUCACCUUGGAGACCUGCUGCGGAUAUGGGUACGGCCCGGCGCGAGACUUACACCCUCUCCCCCGGAUUUUCAAGGGCCGGCGAGAGCUCACCUGACGCCGCCGGAACCGCGACACUUUCCAGGGCGUGGGCCCCCUAUAUCGGC